rnacentral:tRNA from 1 species
UCCCUGGAGGACUAGUGGUUAGGCCACAGCGCUCUCACUGCUGCGGCCCGGGUUUGAUUCCUGGCCAGGGAG